rnacentral:lncRNA from 1 species
GGCGGGGCCGCCUGGGCCUAUGGGACCUCGGGGACCUCCAGGACCCCCUGGACCUGCCUUCCGAAUUACUACUGAUGGGAAAGAAAAAGAAGUUGAUCUUCAAUACAUUCCAGGAGUCAUGGGGCCACCAGGUCCACAGGGACCUCAGGGGAUACCUGGACUACCAGGAACACCUGGUUUACCAGGUAUUCCAGGUCAGAAAGGUGAAGAAGGCCAAAGAGGACGAGAGGGAAUGUCAGGGUUAGAUGGCUUUCCAGGAAAAAUAGUGAGUGAAAGAUCUCUAGCAUGAAGAUUGGCUUUGAACAGCAUU